GACGAACGCUGGCGGCGUGCUUAACACAUGCAAGUCGAACGGGAUUUAGUAAACAGAAACCUCGGUGGAAGAUUACUAAUGAGAGUGGCGAACGGGUGAGUAACGCGUGAGCAACCUGCCUAUGACAGUGGGAUAGCCUCGGGAAACCGGGAUUAAUACCGCAUAAAAUCGUAGAAACACAUGUUUUAACGGUCAAAGAUUUAUCGGUCAUAGAUGGGCUCGCGUCUGAUUAGCUAGUUGGUGAGAUAACAGCCCACCAAGGCGACGAUCAGUAGCCGGUCUGAGAGGAUGAGCGGCCACAUUGGAACUGAGACACGGUCCAAACUCCUACGGGAGGCAGCAGUGGGGAAUAUUGCACAAUGGGGGAAACCCUGAUGCAGCGACGCCGCGUGAACGAAGAAGGUAUUCGUAUCGUAAAGUUCUGUCCUAUGGGAAGAUAAUGACAGUACCAUAGAAGAAAGCUCCGGCUAAAUACGUG
rnacentral:rRNA from 1 species